GGUGCUAUGUCCGAGUGGUUAAGGAGACGCCCUGCUAUGGCUCAUACAAAUGAGCGGAGUCUAGGCGUUGGGUUCUGCCCGCGCGAGUUCGAAUCUCGUUGGCAUCG